rnacentral:rRNA from 1 species
UGGUCCUAGCCUUGUAAUCAGUCUUUACUCAACUUACACAUGCAAGUCUCCGCACCCCUGUGAAAACGCCCUCUAACCCCUUAAGGGACGAGGAGCCGGUAUCAGGCUCAAUCAUUAGCCCAAGACACCUAGCUUUGCCACACCCACAAGGGAAUUCAGCAGUGAUUAACAUUGAUAAUAAGCGCAAGCUUGACUCAGUCAGAGUAAUUAGAGCCGGCAAAUCUGGUGCCAGCCGCCGCGGCUAUACCACGAGGCCCAAACUGAUCCCCUUCGGCGUAAAGCGUGAUUAAAGUGACCCUAGACUGUAGAUAAACUAGUAUUUAGCUGUGAUACGCUGGUUUCUAGGAAAAACAAAAACGAAAGUUGCUACAGCAGAACCCGCUUGACCUCACGACAGCUAAGACACAAACUGGGAUUAGAUACCCCACUAUGCUUAGCCGUAAACCUUAACUUACACCCAAAUCGCCAGGGAACUACGAGCAACGCUUAAAACCCAAAGGACUUGACGGUGCCCCACAUCCACCUAGAGGAGCCUGUCCUAUAAUCGAUAACCCCCGUUCUACCUCACCACUUUUUGCCUAUCAGCCUGUAUACCUCCGUCGUCAGCUUACCACGUGAGCGCCCUCCAGUAAGCGUAAAAGCCCCCCGCUAAAACG